ensembl:lncRNA
UUUGUAUAUCUUUAAUAAUUUAUUUUUUAAAUAAAAAUGAAACAAAAGAGUGAAUGAUAGAAGGGCCUCUGAUUUAUUCUUUUUUUUUUUUUUUUUCCAAUUUAAAAUGUAUAGGAAUCUAUUUCCAUCUCCCUGACAGUGUUUUGAUUAGAUGAGGACUGAAAACAUGUAAUUGCUGUGAAUAUCCUGGGGCCUCCUCUCAGCCACAUGAGCUCAGUGUGUCUGACUCUUUGUGACCUCAUAUACUGUAGCCCACCAGGCUCCUCUGUCCAUUGGAUUUUCUAGGCAAGAAUACUGGAGUGGGUUGCCAUUUCUUCCUCCAGAGAUCUUCCCAACCCAGGGUUGGAACCUGUGUCCCUUGCAUAUCCUGUCCUGGCAGACAGAUUCUUUACCACUCAGCCAUCUUGGAAGAGCCUCCUCUGUAUCUCCCAAAAUGAGGACAGGGUUCCUGAUCCUUUUUCUCAAUCUCAAAAAAGAGCCACCUGGGUGAUUUCAGUCUGAUCUGCCCUUUGGAAGGGGCUGACUUGCCACAGUCUCCUCUGUCUGCCCUCAGAUGAUGCCAGUCUUGGAGACACGCCUGGCUCCCACUUGCCACACUUUCAGCUGCUCCCAUGGGCCAAGUCAACAAAUAUUCACUGAGCUACAGGUUGGAAAUGGCAAUAAGGAAGACCCUCUUCCAGCACUAAGAAGCCGCAGCUGAUGAUCUGGCGGUGGUGGGGACACAGUGGACACAUCAAUUGCAUGUGAGUUUGAAGUUCUCUAAUAUACUGGCUAAACAUCCAUAAAACCCUGUAAGUUAUUGCAAUGUAAGCCGUGAGACUGUCGCUGGUUUGUGACGUGUUAAUUUUUAAAAUUUAAUUUGGUUGUGCUGGGUCUUCGUUGCUGCACUCAGGCUAGUUUUUAGUUGCCAUAUGCAGAGGCCACUCUCUAGUUGCCGUGCGUGGGCUUCUCAUUGCGGUGGCUUCCCUUGUUACAGAGCACAGGCUCUAGACAUGCAGGUUCAGCAGUUGUGUG